rnacentral:rRNA from 1 species
GGAAUAUUGCACAAUGGGCGCAAGCCUGAUGCAGCCAUGCCGCGUGUGUGAAGAAGGCCCUCGGGUUGUAAAGCACUUUCAGUCGUGAGGAAGGUAGUGUAGUUAAUAGCUGCAUUACUUGACGUUAGCGACAGAAGAAGCACCGGCUCACUCCGUGCCAGCAGCCGCGGUAAUACGGAGGGUGCGAGCGUUAAUCGGAAUUACUGGGCGUAAAGCGCAUGCAGGUGGUUUGUUAAGUCAGAUGUGAAAGCCCGGGGCUCAACCUCGGAAUAGCAUUUGAAACUGGCAGACUAGAGUACUGUAGAGGGGGGUAGAAUUUCAGGUGUAGCGGUGAAAUGCGUAGAGAUCUGAAGGAAUACCAGUGGCGAAGGCGGCCCCCUGGACAGAUACUGACACUCAGAUGCGAAAGCGUGGGGAGCAAACAG